rnacentral:rRNA from 1 species
GGAAUUUUGGACAAUGGGCGCAAGCCUGAUCCAGCAAUGCCGCGUGAGUGAAGAAGGCCCUCGGGUUGUAAAGCUCUUUUGUCAGGGAAGAAACGGCUCAAGCUAAUAUCUUGGGCUAAUGACGGUACCUGAAGAAUAAGCACCGGCUAACUAAGUGCCAGCAGCCGCGGUAAUACGUAGGGUGCAAGCGUUAAUCGGAAUUACUGGGCGUAAAGCGUGCGCAGGCGGUUUUGUAAGUCUGUCGUGAAAUCCCCGGGCUUAACCUGGGAAUUGCGAUGGAGACUGCAAGGCUAGAAUCUAGCAGAGGGGGGUAGAAUUCCACGUGUAGCAGUGAAAUGCGUAGAGAUAUGGAGGAACACCGAUGGCGAAGGCAGCCCCCUGGGUCAAGAUUGACGCUCAUGCACGAAAGCGUGGGGAGCAAAC